rnacentral:rRNA from 1 species
UACGUAGGGUGCAAGCGUUGUCCGGAAUUAUUGGGCGUAAAGAGCUCGUAGGCGGUUUGUCGCGUCUGCCGUGAAAGUCCGGGGCUCAACUCCGGAUCUGCGGUGGGUACGGGCAGACUAGAGUGAUGUAGGGGAGACUGGAAUUCCUGGUGUAGCGGUGAAAUGCGCAGAUAUCAGGAGGAACACCGGAGUGGCGAAGG